AAUUAUCAACCUUGUUCGCUUUUACGAGCUUGAGCGAGGCUUGGAUGUGAGGGCUUGCUGGCUUCCUUCAGUGGAUGGUCUGCUCCCUUUAAAUGCAUUAGUGGGAUCUCUUGUGGACCGUCACUUGGUGUGAUAAUUAUCUAUGCCAUUUGACUGUGAAGCAAAAUUAUGGGAACCUGCUUAUAACCGUCUCGCAAGGGACAAUUUAAUUGACUAU
rnacentral:misc_RNA from 1 species